GCCAAAACACCCUGUCACUAUUUCAUUGGGCCACACAUAAACAGAUCCAUUAAAGGCCACGUUAUCCCCACGCGUCUCUUCUUUGAGACCUUCCUGCCACGAUUCACCUGCAUUUCCAAAGAAUAUUGAAAAGGGGAGCGACAUGGAGAUGCGUCAGCGGUUACUACUUCGCCGAUAUCGGUGAACGGCGUCUUUUACUCCAGAUUCCAAGUCAUCCGGUACCUCGUCAGCUCAUCUCCAUUGUUGAUCAUCUUCAUAGAAACUUUCGCCGAUCGACUCUAAUUUUAAGUUGAUUUUGAUAGAUUCGCCUUUAGGGUGUUGCUGCGCAACCAAAACCUAUCUCAGUUUCUAUCAAUAUUAGGUUUACCAGAUCGUAUCUGUCUUAAUUUGAUUUGUGAUUGUUUUGUUGGAUUAGACGGUGAUGAUGAACGGGUUGGAUUCCGGUAAGAUAAUACUGUGUCGUUGUUGUGUAAUUUGACCCAAUUCUGGGUGUUUCCGAUUAAUGGCAAUGCGACAUCAUUUGUUUGGGGAAGUUAGGGUAUAAUAAAUGACAAUGUCUUUUUGGAGGAUUCGAUGCUGUGUUGAACGGUGUACCAUGUUCAUAAUUUGGGAAUGUCUCUACUCAGCAAGAUAUAGAUUCGUACUUUUUUUUAUAAAAGGGAGGACGAGGAACUAACUGACGAGAAGAAUUACUUUGAAGGAUUAUGCACGCCCAGGUGUGUGUUAGAGCUUCGCAUGAGUCUCAGAGGAUAAACAUGAGAAAGGUGAACCAACCAAAAGAUUUGGAGUUGCUAUUCCGUUCAAAGAAGUGAUGAAAAUGGAUCUUUUAUCACACUUAUUGUGUCCAAUUAAAGAACCGGAAAUUGAUCAUCACAGAUGAUAAAACUCCCCCAUCCAAGAAAGGCAAGAACCAUAGCAGGAGCUAGAACAUCAAACACCCAUUUAUCAACAAGAACCAGGAACCAACAUUUUUCUAACAACUGAUGUAUUGUGAAUGAAAAUAUAAAACCCCCAUCCCACUGCCAAGACAAAAAUACCAAACGCUACGUAACGCACGAUAAGCAGAUCUCUGUGUCCAAGGUUUUGAAAGAUAUAAAAAAUUUGGCGUUUAUGUGCGUCAAAAGCCAAUCAAAGGCUGAUGCUCUCUUUGGGAUAUUUGGUGUAGGUUUAGCUUGGAAUGUCUAAAGUGAUAGGAUGGGAUGUAUUUGUUGUUGUCAGGUUAUGUGGUUGCUGGCUUCUCCUGUUUUGAUGCUACUGUGGUAGUUUCUUUUGGCGGAUGUAAUAGUUAGCUUCCUACCAACUCUUUUGGUUUUGUAAUAAAAAAUUCCGGCGGUUUUAUUUCGAGUUACUUUUUGUUA